CAGAGGGUGCAAGCGUUGUUCGGAAUUACUGGGCGUAAAGCGCGUGUAGGCUGCAAUCUAAGUCAGAUGUGAAAGCCCUCGGCUCAACCGAGGAAGUGCAUCUGAUACUGGGUCGCUUGAGUGUCGGAGGGGUGGCGGAAUUCCCGGUGUAGAGGUGAAAUUCGUAGAUAUCGGGAGGAACACCUGUGGCGAAGGCGGCCACCUGGACGACAACUGACGCUGAGACGCGAAAGACGUGGGUAGCAAACAGGAUU
rnacentral:rRNA from 1 species